GACGAACGCUGGCGGCGUGCUUAACACAUGCAAGUCGAACGGAAAGGCCCUGCUUUCGUGGGGUGCUCGAGUGGCGAACGGGUGAGUAACACGUGAGUAACCUGCCCUUGACUUUGGGAUAACUUCAGGAAACUGGGGCUAAUACCGGAUAGGAGCUCCUGCUGCAUGGUGGGGGUUGGAAAGUUUCGGCGGUUGGGGAUGGACUCGCGGCUUAUCAGCUUGUUGGUGGGGUAGUGGCUUACCAAGGCUUUGACGGGUAGCCGGCCCGAGAGGGUGACCGGCCACAUUGGGACUGAGAUACGGCCCAGACUCCUACGGGAGGCAGCAGUGGGGAAUAUUGCACAAUGGGCGGAAGCCUGAUGCAGCAACGCCGCGUGCGGGAUGACGGCCUCGGUUGUAACCGCUUCGCCUGUGACGAAGCGUGAGUGACGGUAAUGGUAAGAAGCACCGGCUAACUACGUGCCAGCAGCCGCGG
rnacentral:rRNA from 1 species